rnacentral:rRNA from 1 species
ACGGAAGGCAGCAGUGAGGAAUAUUGGUCAAUGGGCGCAAGCCUGAACCAGCCAAGUAGCGUGAGGGAUGACUGCCCUACGGGUUGUAAACCUCUUUUGUUUGGGAAUAAAGGAGCCUACGCGUAGGCUUUUGCAUGUACCUUUCGAAUCAGCAUCGGCUAAUUCCGUGCCAGCAGCCGCGGUAAUACGGAAGAUGCGAGCGUUAUCCGGAUUUAUUGGGUUUAAAGGGAGCGUAGGCGGCCGGUUAAGUAUGCGGUCAAAUGUCAGGGCCCAACCUUGGCAUGCCGUGGAUACUGUCCGGCUUGAGUGCACACAAGGAAGGUGGAAUUCGUCGUGUAGCGGUGAAAUGCAUAGAUAUGACGAAGAACUCCGAUUGCGAAGGCAGCCUUCUGGGGUGUUCCUGACGCUGAGGCUCGAAAGUGCGGUAAUCAAACAGGAUUAGAUACCCUGGUA